GACGAACGCUGGCGGCGUGCUUAACACAUGCAAGUCGAGCGGUAAGGCCCUUCGGGGUACGACGAGCGGCGAACGGGUGAGUAACACGUGGGUGACCUGCCCUCAGCUCUGGGAUAAGCCUGGGAAACCGGGUCUAAUACUGGAUAUGACUCCAUGACGCAUGUUGUGGGGUGGAAAGCCUUGUGCGGCUGAGGAUGGGCCCGCGGCCUAUCAGCUUGUUGGUGGGGUGAGGCCUACCAAGGCGACGACGGGUAGCCGGCCUGAGAGGGCGACCGG
rnacentral:rRNA from 1 species